rnacentral:tRNA from 1 species
UGGAUAAUAGUUAAUAUUUAUAACAUUUAAAUUGCAUUUAAAAAUAAUUUUAUAAAAAUUUAUCUUU